UAAUCUGGCAGCUUCGCUGUCCGAGUUGUAGUCUCGAGAAGUGUUUUCCGCGCUGGAUCGUGUAUGAGUCUGUUGGAAUACAGCGUCAUAGAGGGUGAGAACCCCGUUCGUGACAUGACUACCAGUGCUUUGUGAUACAUUUUCGAUGAGUCGAGUUGUUUGGGAAUGCAGCUCAAAUUGGGUGGUAAAUUCCAUCUAAAGCUAAAUACUGGCGAGAGACCGAUAGCAAACAAGUACCGUGAGGGAAAGAUGAAAAGCACUUUGGAAAGAGAGUUAACAGUACGUGAAAUUGUUGAAAGGGAAACGUUUGAAGUCAGACGUGCGUUGUGCGAUUCAGCUCCGGUUCGCCGGAGUGUAUUUCGUACUAUUGUAGGCCAGCAUCGGUUUGGCGAGCCGGAUAAAGGUUAGAGAAAGGUAGCGGUCCAGGCCGUGUUAUAGUCUUUAACUGAAUACGGAUUGCUAGACCGAGGGACGCAGCGCGCCGCAAGGCAAAGCUUUCGGGCUUUUCGCGCUUAGGAUGCUGGUGAAAUGGCUUUAAAUGACC
rnacentral:rRNA from 1 species